rnacentral:rRNA from 1 species
GUGGGGAAUCUUAGACAAUGGGCGCAAGCCUGAUCUAGCCAUGCCGCGUGAGCGAUGAAGGCCUUAGGGUUGUAAAGCUCUUUCAGGGGGGAAGAUAAUGACGGUACCCCCAGAAGAAGCCCCGGCUAACUCCGUGCCAGCAGCCGCGGUAAUACGGAGGGGGCUAGCGUUGUUCGGAAUUACUGGGCGUAAAGCGCACGUAGGCGGACCAGAAAGUCAGGGGUGAAAUCCCGGGGCUCAACCCCGGAACUGCCUUUGAAACUCCUGGUCUUGAGGUCGAGAGAGGUGAGUGGAAUUCCGAGUGUAGAGGUGAAAUUCGUAGAUAUUCGGAGGAACACCAGUGGCGAAGGCGGCUCACUGGCUCGAUACUGACGCUGAGGUGCGAAAGCGUGGGGAGCAAACAGGAUUAGAAACCCGAGUAGUC